UUGCUUCUGUAGCGCUUAUACUAAAAUUGGAACAGUGAAGAGAAGACUAGCGUAGGCCCUCUGCAUGGAUGACACUCAAAUUUGUGAAGCAUUCCACAUUUUU